GGAUUUAGAAACACCACAGAGGUACAUAUUUGGAUGUGUGAUGAGGAUGUUUCCCCUGGUGGUUGCUCAGUCAACAAUGAUGGCUUCUCCAACAGUCUCAGUCUGACAUGGUUGUAAAGUAAUCUGGAGAAUGAAAGUUUAAGUAUUUCUCUUCUAUAUGAGUUUUGAAAAAGAGCUGCACUUAAGCUAUACAGAAGUGGUAAAAGAACACUCACUGAGGAUAUGGCCCAUGCAGGAGAUCUGAAGGCAAGGCAAACUGAGGAGAGCUGAUUGGGAAUGGAGGAAAUACCCAUCACUGAGAAGUUUAGCUUUGCUGUGGUAUGGGUCUGCUGACUCAUGUUUACCAGAGUUAUUCCUUUGUCUGGAAAAGUGGAAGGAUUUUUUGUGAAACAGCCAUUUGAGCAAAGGCAACUAACUUCUUUAAAAACAGGAGAAAUCAAAAUAUUGUAUGGAGCAAAUAAUACAGCAAUGAAGCCCAUUUUGGGUUAUAAAUCAUUUGGACAGACAGAUACCAUGGUGAAUUCACUAAACAAAAAGUAUCAUUGCAAAUAUACUCCAUGUGUAAUUAUUUCAUGUCUACAUCUUUGGGGAGAAUUUUAGCUUUCUGAUACAUUUUUUCCUAUUCUAUUUCUUGAUUGACACCCCGUUUCUAGAUAUCUAUUAUUCAAGAAAUGAUAUUAAAUAUUGAAAUUUUAACAAUACGUUAUAUACAGAGCUAUGUGGUACACAUUUAAAACUAUUAAAACAAUUGUACAUGCCA